UACGUAGGGUGCAAGCGUUAUCCGGAAUUAUUGGGCGUAAAGAGCUCGUAGGCGGUUUGUCGCGUCUGCUGUGAAAACUGGAGGCUCAACCUCCAGCCUGCAGUGGGUACGGGCAGACUAGAGUGCGGUAGGGGAGAGUGGAAUUCCUGGUGUAGCGGUGGAAUGCGCAGAUAUCAGGAGGAACACCGAUGGCGAAGGCAGAUCUCUGGGCCGUAACUGACGCUGAGGAGCGAAAGCAUGGGGAGCGAACAGG
rnacentral:rRNA from 1 species